rnacentral:rRNA from 1 species
AAUGGCCGCGGUAACUUGACCGUGCAAAGGUAGCAUAAUUAUUAGUCUUUUAAUUGGAGGCUUGAAUGAACGAUUGAAUGAAAAAUAAACUUUAUUAAUAAAAAUAAUUUAAUUUAAUAUUUAAGUAAAAAUUCUUAAAUAAUUGAGUGGGACGAGAAGACCCUAUAGAAUUUAAAUAUUUUUUUUUUAAAAAAUUAAAGAAUUUAUAUUAUUUUGAACUAAAAAAAAAUUUUUGUUGGGGUGACAUUAAAAAUUAAUUAACUUUUAAUUAAUAUAACAUUAAUUUAUGUUUUUUUGAUCCAAUAUUUUGAUUAAAAGAUCUAAUUACCUUAGGGAUAACAGCGUUAUUAAUUUGAAGAGCUCAAAUCGAUAAAUUAGUUUGCGACCUCGAUGUUGGAUUAAGAAAAAAUUUUGGAGCAAAAUUUAAAAUUUUAGGUCUGUUCGACCUUUAAAUUCUUACG